CUGAAAUAAAGAAAUGAGACUGAGUAGGGGAGGUAUCUGACUGGUAAUAAGGUUUGAACUUUGGACCCAAAGUCGGCUAGCGUCAGCCUCUGGCCUUGCUAACUUGCUGCGCGAGCUUAAGUAAGCCACCGUUCCUGUCCCUUUUCCUCAACAGUGUAAGAGUCCCACUCGCCCCUAAGGGCCUACCGGAGUGGGAGAGAUGAAUCCUGAAAUCAACAGAAGUGCUUUAUGAGGACAUGGAGCCACAUGUGAUGGUGGGAGCUGGAGCAACCACUCUAUCCAGAAUGGGAAGCUGUGAUGAAAGAAGGCAGAGCUGCCCUAUGAGAUCCAGACCAUCUCCCUCUAAAGAGUUAAGUUAGAAACAAACUUUUGCCUUGCUUAAACCACUGUACUCUGGGGUCUCUAGUUACAGCAGCUUAGAAUCUACUCUGAAAAAUACAUCCCCUGCCCCUGUGAGGCAAACUAAGGAAUGAGAUGACAUACAACUGGCUUUAAUGUCUCCCUUGGGUCCAGGGCAUCCUAGUGGCCCUUUCCUGGCCCCUAACCAGCCCCAAGGAGGGGCACAUGGGUGACUCCACCUGAGACAGUGGGAAGCUGGGGCUGUGGGUUCCAGUGGGAAGGGGUGAUGGGGAGCCUCCUCCCCAGAGGUCUCAUCUACUAAGCUGGCUGAUGGUCCCAUCCCGCCCUGAGAACUGAACUCCUGGCCUUACAAAGAUUGGGUGGGCAGCCGACAAGACAGUGAGAUAUAAAGUAAGAAGGAAUGUCAAGGCCAGGUUUGGAACCAAAGGCUUCCCCAGGCCCCACACCUGUGUCAGCUUGGGAGGGGCUAGGGAGCACAGGUACCAUCCCACACAGUGUGUAUGUGGGGCAGGUGGGUGGCGUUCCUGCUCCCUCUGGCCCAGAACUCCUGAGGACACUAGAGAGCACCCAUCAGCUGGAUGCCACUUUUCAUGCCCUCCCACCUGGGUGUCCCCUCUUCUUCCUGGACCCAAAUGCAUCUAUUUACAGAGCCCUGGGAUCUCCUGGCAUCCACCCUUUCCCACUACGGGUCCAAAGCCCCAGGAGGCCAAAUGGUAGGCUUCUCCUCAACGGGAAUGCAGCUCUGCUCAGCUGCCCCGGCAGUUCCUGCAGGCUCCCUUCCCCACCCUGCCCGCCCUCCCCUGCUCCCCAGUAACCAUCAUGCACUCUCUGUUGGCCCCUCCUGGCCACAGCACUCUUAGUGAGUGGAAGGGCCUGCUCUCCUCUCCUGACAAGGAUGUUUUCUGAGCCCACAGGCCUGACCCUGGAUUCACAAGGGCCGGAGGAGGGAAGACUCCCCUGCCCAUCCAUGCAGGGUCCUCACAAGAAACACCCAGACUGCAGAAGGAGGCAGAAAGGCAGGCUCCACAAGGGACAAGCCUACAAGCAGGGGUCACUCUACAGCCAGCACAUCAUCCAGGCUGCUAGCGGACAUUUACUCAGGACCUGCCACGAGCCAGGAGCUGCCGAUGCAUGGGCUGGAGAGAAAUUAGGGGCCAAUUCAUGGGGCCAAUACUGGAGGAAGACUCUCACGGAACUCUGCCCUCUACAUUCCAGGCCUACAAAUACCACCGGCCUCUAACCCUCCGCAGACCCGCCUGGCCCUUGCUACAGUUUGCGAUUCCUCAUCUCUCUGAGCCUGACUCAGUUUACUUCCUUAUUGAGGUCAAGACAGCCACACCUUCUAGCUGGGCAGGGCUAGGCAGAGCGGGAGAGCCGUGGGCCUGGAACAUUCCUCCCAGGAGGUGGCGCCUCCAUCAUGACAGUCCUCUUGGCAGCUGGCACUUAACUGAGUGCCUUUGGGUGCCAGGUGCUGUGGCGCUCACCUUACUCCAUUAUCCUAACGGCGACUGGGCGGUGAGGCGAUGGGCACAGGGGCUGAGGACCAGCCUGAGAUUCAACUGGCAGCACCAGGACUCACACCUGCCCACCACCUCUGUGGGUCCUCACUCAGGAGUUCAGGAACAAAGUCUAAGCUGCUGCCUUGAGCCUUGCCCAGGGCAAAGGCCCCCUCACUUCUGCUCUGGCCCCCAGCAGGAGCCCCUAGGCCUGCGUUUGUGGGUCACAUGCCUCCCUGGCUCUGGCACAUGCCCAGACCAGCCACCAGAGCACUGUGCCCAAGAGAGCUGCACCUUCCCAGAUCCCCUCUGCCCAUGCCACCCCCACCUGUAACCGCGUGAGCCCCGCUGCCCACCCCCCACAAUCCUCUAGGCGCAAGGCUGGGCUGCAGUGACUUAAAACCGCAUUUCACAAAACCCAAGGUUCCCAGAAAGGCCAAGGGAGCCCCAGAGCCUCUUCCACCCCCCACCCAACUCCAAUGGAAACAGAUCACCUGGACAAGGUCCCGUGUUGGGGUUUCCAGUAGCUUGAAGGGGGUCUUGUGCUCUAAAAAGCUGGAAAACCUCUGAGGCCAGGCCUGGACUUCAGGAGCUCUGAGGGCUAGAAGCCCCUUAGAGGACCUGGCUCCUGCAGACCCUGCCCAUGUGCACGGCCCUCCUUCCGCAUUAUUUUUUUCCCAGCCCCGCUGGCCCAGAACUCAGAGACAGUGAGGGAGGGUCUCACAGCGAUUGCGCCCAUCACUCAGGGGUUUCCAUUUACUGUUUGCCAGCAGUGUUUCUCCUCACGUUAGCCCCCAUCGCUAUCACAGAUGAGGAAGGGGGUUCACAGUCUGGGUGACCAGCCUGGUUCACCCUCUAAGAGCAGCAAAGUGUCCAACCCAGACCCUGGGGCCUCUCGUUCCCCACCACCCGACCCUGCCUUGGCCUCUGCCUGCCUCUCCCUGGGUCCCCCCAGGCCCACCCUCCCCUCACCUGACCCGGUACCUGCCUCGGCGAGGCAGUGUCCCGGCAUCACUGCUGCAUUGUGCCUCCCGAUCCCAUGCCUGGCCUUCAUGGCUUGGCGGCAGCUGUUUCCUCCCUGGAGGCUAUCCCCCAACCCCCAGGCUGAGCUCAGGUGGCAGGGAGCUACAUGGGGACCCAACCUUGGCCUGGCUUGGUGCCAGCUCUGCCCUUCACCCGAGCUGGUUUCCUGGCUCCACCUCUUCCCAACUGGGUGGCCUCACCUCUCUUGGCCUCAGUCUCCUCAACUACGAGAUACAAACAGGUAACCAAGUGGCAGGGCGAGGCAGCCCCAGCCUGCAGAAGCCAAUCCGCAGAGCCGAGGUGGGAGCAUCGCGGUUUCCAUCUUACAGGUGAGGAGCCCGUCUGUGCUCUGAGCUCAGUGAACUGCAUCCCCAACUCCUCUCAGAGCCUUGUCCUACUCCCUCUCUGGGCGAAAGUUCACUGUGAACUGUGCCCUGGCUCCUGGGCACUGUCAAAUGGGACAUGGAGGUACACGCAAAAGAGCCCGGAAGUAAACUCUCCACUGGUAGGACCCAGUGCCUCAAACAAAGUGAGUCUGGGGGUGGGGCAAGGAGCUGGGAGACCUAGGUCUGAUUCCAACAAUGCCCAUCAGAGAACCUGGGCCAUUCACCUGCACAUGGGCCCAGCGCUCCACCCUGUUGGGGUGCGAGUAGGCCAGGGAGAGGGGCUCUCUGGGAGUGGGAGCAAGGCUGGCCACAGGUGAGAAAUCAGCAGGCUCAGAAGAGACCCCCUAACAGCUACUGUACUGCCUAGCUCCACGUUCAAGUCCACCACUGGCAAAGCACUCGUUCUUUGUGUUAGGAAUGACCCUCUCCAGGGUCCUCCUGAGAGAAUGAAGACGUAAGUCAGACCCUGGUGCAGAAGACAGUUGGCUGGUGGAGCUGCGCUCAUGUGUGCUGCUGAGGGGAUGGAUGCAUCGGGGGCCUUUAACUGCCUCACUCCUGGGAUUCCUUCUCCCCCCUCACGCCCCACCUGAGCCCUUGCCUCCCUGAGGGGCGGAGUACCGUCAACCCCAGCCUACUUAGGAGCCCCCAUCAGCCUGAAGAGAAACUUCCUGUUGGCCUGUCUGCCUGCCCCAUGGCCCCACUGUGCCUCAGUGUCUCCAUCUGUCAGACAGGAUGAGCCCCACCCAGGAGGGUGGCUGAAGGCCAGAACGAGGAGAGUUGAGAGGACACCCUGCAUGGGGGACAUCCCAACGGCCCAGAGGCCCAGUCAUCCCUGCAGGGGGAGGGCUGAGAGAGGCAGGGCAGUGUGCAGUGCUGGAAGGGAGAAGGAAGAAGAGAGCGGAGGCCAGGGUCCGGCCAGGGUGGGGCCAAGGUAGCAGGAGUGGAGCACAAGCCUGCAAUAACUAAUUGGGCAGAUUAUUAAUCAUUAAUAGAGCUUCUGAUCAGAGGAUAGAGAACCCAGCUUCUUCCAGUUCAUGAACAGGAACACGCUGCCAGUCCUUCAACGAAUGUAGACUGAGCGCCACCUCACACAGGCCUGUUGUUCACAUCCGUACAGAGCCCACUGAGGUCAGUGCGGAGAGAAUCCCCCCAGGGGGCCCCGCACCUUGGGCUUGCGACUCCUGGCCCACCUCUCAGCCACUCGGCCUUCCAGACCCAAAUGACCCACCCUGCCCCGUCUGGACAAGAGAGGGCAGCCAGAGCAGACAAGCCUAGUGGACGGGGUUCAGGGCCCGAGACCAGCUCUGCCCUGCCUCAGUUUCCACAUCUGUGGAAUGGAGAUGAGAACGCCCACACCUCCAGGUUCACGGUGAGGGAAAACAAGGCCGGGUAGGCCAGGGCUGAGUGCUUUCUGCCUCUACAAGAGCGGAAACGCAUUUCUGGGCCCCGGCGCUAUGUGAGAUGCCCCUCAGCCCCAUCUCUCUAGAGACAGCGGGGGCAAGGCACUGCAGUGGGGCCUUAGAUUGGGGCACUGCAAUGGGGCCUGGAAUCUGGCUUCAAGGGGAACUGGAUUCAAAUCUGGCUCCCGGCCCUUCUUGACCCCCUGUGUGAUCCUGGGCAGGUCACUUAAUAUUCCUGGGCCUCAGAGUCCCCAUCUGCAAUGAGGGACCUUCCCAGGCCCUCAUCCCAUGAGGAUUAAACAUGGUAAUAUCCAAAGAGCCUUGACAGAGACCAGAUCUCUGAGCUCCUGAGCGGAGGUUCAUGCUCGCCCUCCACACGGCCUCACCACGUGGCUGGAUGGCCUGGCUAUGAGGCCUGUUGGCACCUCCCUCCAAAAUGCCCCUAGGACCGAGCCCCACUCAUCCUCUUCAGUGGCCUCCCUCCUGCCUUUUUUUUUCCUGUCUUGAAAUUCAUAAUUUUUGAACAAAGGGCCCACAUUUUCAUUUGGCACCGAGCCCCACAGAUUCUGUCACUGCAAAGUCCCCAUCAGGACACUACCCCAACCCCACUCAAACCCCUUAACAUACUGAGAAUAAAAUCCAGGCUCCUCACAGUGCCCGGAGGCCCUGCCAGUCUGGUCCCUGAGGCUUUGCUGACCUCACCUCCCUCAUCCUCUCGGCUCAGUCCCCACCUUUCUGCCCCUCCCACAUCCCAGGCUCACCUGUCUCAGGGUCCUCGCACUGGCUGUUCCCUCUGCCUGAAUGCCCUUCCCUCAGAUCUCCAUUUGCUGGCUGCCUGCUCAGAGGGGCCUUCCUGACCAGCCAGCUAAAGCGGCUGUUCCCUCCCCAGGUCAUCGGCUUCACAACACUCCUCCCUGCGGAAGCUAUCUGUCUCAUUGUUUAUGUGUUAGUGGUCUGUCUCCCCCACCCACACCCUGCUCAUUUGGAAUGUCAACAAGAGGAGAGCAGGGUCACCAUGGGCUUCAGUCACCGGUCACUGCUGCUCCCCACCCCCUAGGACAAAGCCUGGCCUGGAGCAGGAGCUCCACAAACAGUUGAUGAUGGAACUCUUAUGAGAAGUGAUGAUCAACUCCCAGUGGCAAGUAUCUGGUUUGGGGGUGCCUGGGGCAGCAGGCCUGCCGGUGCAUACCCACACCUAGCAGAGUGCUCUCCACAGCACCAGUGGCCCAGAGAAAGCCCCCUAUCCCCCGAGCCCUGCUGAGAUCAGCGCCACCCAGCCCAGGCAUCCCGGGCAGUGCCAGCCCCUCCCGCCAGGCUUGCCCAUCCUCCAGGGACAAUGUACAAAGGGCCACUUCAGUGCUGAGCCUCAGCUCUAUCUCCAGCCCAGAAAGCCUGAGUGUGGGGGAAGGGAGGGAAGGGCACACCCCACCCCUCCUCUGUCCUCACGGGGUUUCUCUAGCACAGGCAGGGCAGGCAACAGAACCAAGCUUCAACAGGAUCAAGCCACAGCUGGAGAGACUUCGUUCCAUGUGCUGCACCCUGGAGGCUGGGGGAGUAGGGGAGUGCCAAUGCAGGGGGGUGCCCAUGUCCAGGGUGGGGAUGCCCACACGCAGGGUGGAGGCAAAGGUUGGUCCUUGUGUUCCUAGGCAGCAGGAGUGGAAGGUGUCCUAGGGGAAUCUCCCCAUGCGUACAGGAUAGCAGGUGGUAGGUAUUGGUACACUUGAGAAGCCCAAGUGCCAGUAGUGAGAAGGGAGAGAGAGGAGCAGAGCCAGUGGGAUCUGGGCCAGGCCUCAGGGAGGGCAGGGCCUGGGCUUUAGAAUCAGUUCCCAUCCUGCCUGGGAUCCUCCACUACAAAAUAAGACACAAAGAACUCACUCAAACAGUUGUUCCAACAACCUGAGCUGAUAAACUGACCUGAGCCUGGCACGCAGGGACACUUGGAUAACUUUGGGCAUUACGAACUUUCCUCCUUCUGGGCCCUGUCAGUGAUGUAACCAUCCACCUAGCUGCCCACCCUUAGGAGCACAGGACCCCCCCUAAGUCCUCACUCUCACUGAUCCCACACACCUUUCACCAAGGCUUGUCUAUUUCAUGCCCCAUACUUCUCAAUUCCCACCCCUUUCCCUGUGUCACUAUCCCGUGCUGGUUCUGCCACCACCAUGCUCACCUGGAUGGCAGCAGUGGCCUUCCUAAGGAGCUCCCAGCCUGGUCCCCAUGAGCCAAGCAAAAGCUACAUCUGACGCUGCCCUUCCUAGCUGGGAACCGUUGGCCUCAGGAUAAAGUCCAGAUCUUCUAGGAGGCUUGAAGUUUCUGUGUAAUCUUACACUCCCCAUCCCCAUGCCGGUCUCGGGAGGGUUUGGCUGAACUGGACUUCCUCCAGGCCUCCCUGACCCCAGGCUGUGGAAAGAGCCGAGCUGCCUUUUCAGGGCCCCCAGCUCCAGCAUAGAGCCUGACACCGAGGUGUGUUGAAUGAAUAAAAGACCCUCUCCCCAAA